UACUCGCGUUAAGGAUUGCAGUAAAAAGCCCACAGCGAAGCGAGGACUUGUAACGAAAAGCCUGGGCCAAA
rnacentral:misc_RNA from 1 species